AUGAGAAUGGCGGUACAGGGUAAUCUGGUCAUUUGCGACACACACACACAGAAAGAAAGGGGCCAUGUUGUGUGCACUCUAAUCCCCUUUGACAGCAGAAUGGUACGGUCCCAUAAUCCUCUGGCUGUUGCCGUGGUAGCGUUGAGAGGGUUUUGGAUGGUAGGUACGACUUCAGCCCAAAGCGAACCAAAGAUUCCCGCAGCCAUCCCAAACGUGGACACUUUGCUUUCCAUCGGCUCACAGGACAGGGGAUCAUAUGAACACAGACAUAACUUCAUAACUUCAGUGCAGUGUUCAUGAGAAUUGUUCAUACAUCAGCUAUUCAAGGCAAGAUGCUACAAGCAAAUCGUUGGUUAUUUUUCAUGCACUAGUCAAAUGUAAAGCUAUUUUGCUUCUGUAGCAUGUCUUCUUUUAGACUAGUGAAAACAAAAUAUCAAAAAUACACAUUUAAGCGUUCAUUUUAUUACACUUGAUCUUUUUGCAUCUGUAGAUUUCAGUUCCUUUAUAUCUUUUUAAAGGCCAUGUGUUUUUCUCCAUGUCAGCAGCACCUACAUAUACCAGCAUUAUUAUUCAUAUGUUGUCAUACUGUUUGUCAUUCACCUGAAACAUUUUAAACAUUUAAAAAAAAAACAUGGUGAAAAUGUAUUCAUUUCUGACUGUUGACAGUAUUUGCUGAUUUAUGAAGUGAUAACAAGAAAACAGAUUUUGUGUGAAAAUAAAUCAUAGAAGUGAUUUUUGUUUAAAAAUCUCAUAAAUGUACUGUAUGAGGUAGCAAGUGGGGCCUAUUACCCCACACGGGGUAAAAAGCAUGGGGCAAAAGGCACACGUUUUUUUUUAUCUUGUCUAAGUUAAUACUUGCUAUACUGUCAUUAAAAAUAUGUUAAUAUAAAAAUAUAUUUUAAAAUACAGAAACAAAAUCAUUUUAAAAAGUAGGUCAACACACAAAAGUAUAGAAAUUCUACACUGAUUUAAAAAAAAAGAAGAUCUGAUCGUAAUCAGCCAAUACUCAGAAUUUUUGGUGUCGGAUCAGUUCUAAAAAAAAAUGGUAUCGUUGCAUCCCUAGUUUGGUUAAACACAUUCUUCAAAAUAUCAUCUUCUGUUUUCAUCAGAAUCUAUCCAGGUUUGGAACAAAUUGAGGAUGAGCAAAUGAUGACAGAAUUUAAAUUUCUGGGUGACCUGUACCUUAAAGAUGUGCUUUUGAACAUCCACCCAGCAUUCCCCAACUGUUAAAAAUUGCAGUUGAAUGUGUCUGACAAUUUAAUUAAAAGUGCACGCACAAAUCAGUCAUUAUACGUGUGUUUCAGGGAUGCUGGAGUGUGAGCCUGGUCAACUGGCUUGAUGCCACUCCUUACUUUAAACGUCAGAUGAUUUCAUGCAUUAUAAAGUUCAAAGGACAAAAACAAAAAAAAAACAGAUGCUCAAAUCUUAAACUUUAGAAGAAGAGUGCAGCACUCAUUGUACAAACAUAGACUUUGCUUUCUUUAUAUUUCUUCACUGAACUAAAUUGAUCUGAAUAAUGAUACUGUUGUCUUCUUCGAGCUGCCUUACAGCAGAAAUCAUAUUUUUUUCAUAGUUGAAGAACAUGACUAAUGUUGUUUUCUUGUUUUUCACUGUGAAGCUGCUUUGAAACAAUCUGUAUUGUAUAAAGCGCUAUAGAAAUAAAUGUGGCUUGACUAUAAAUAGUGAUUAUAAAUGUUUCAGCCAACUUCAUGACCUUCAUCAGACAUCAACAUGAUCUGAUUAGGUAUGUAAGGAAUAUUGGUAACACUUUACUUAAAGCCUUUAUAUAUAAUGCUUUAUAAUAUUAAUGCACCUUAUGAUGCAUUGUAUAAUCUCAUAAAUAAUUGUAACCACAGUUAUAAUACAUUAUAAUACUUACCUUUUCUAUUUUUAGUACCUUUAGAGUAUAUUGCGCAAUGCACAUAAAAAGCAACCAAUUUCAGAUGUAACAAGAAAUCUGCAAAUAUUAUUAUAAAUUGUCAACAUUUGUGGAAUUUAAUGAAAUCCAAUGCUCAUUUCUUAAAAAACAUCACAAAGACAAGCUUCCUGUCUGAUUUCUAGAUUACUAUUUGCUCAAUUGUAAGCCCAUUUGUUAGUCAGAGAAAAUGCAAACAUGAUCCAGAUGCAUCCACACAGCCACAGAAAAUGACAGAUUUUGUGAAAAAGCAAAUUUUGCUUAUUUUAUAAAGUUCUUUGUAAUUAAAUGGAGUAUUUGAAAAAAAAAUCCACUCCUUUGCAGAUUCUAAGUAAAAUAAUAUAUUAUGAAUGCUCUUUUGUUCAUUAAAGUAAAAACUUUUUAGUCCAUUUUGUUCUGUUUUUUGUUUGUUGUUGUUGUUUGUUUUUUUUUUUUUUUUUCUUUUUUGAUGAGCGCUAAUUAAGACUAAAAUAAAAUAAAAUAAACUUAAAAAAUUUAUUUGUAAAGUAAAAAAUUUCUUUUUAUUAUUUCUAGAACUCAGGUUCUAAUUAAAAAGUUAAAAACUUUUUAGUCCUAUUUUGUUCUUGUUUUUUGUUUGUUGUUGUUGUUGUUUUUUUUUUUUUUUUUUUGAUGAGCGCAUUAAAGCUAAAAUAAAUAAAAAUACUAAAAAAAAUUUAUUUUGUGAAAAAAAUACUUUUUUAUAUUUCUGAACUCAGCAUCUUCAAAUUAGGUAAUAAAAGGCCUUUUUGCAAAUCAGCAGAAUCUUUUUAUUUUUUUACUUUUCCAAGAUCCAGGGCUAUAACAAGUAAAAGAAUAAUAUUUCAUUGCGAAAUAAACAUGCAUUUAAAUCUUUAAGCCACUGGCUUGAUUUCAAUCACUUAUACCAUGGUAGGUAUUCUUCGAAAGGUUUAUGCUUUAUUAUUCAGUUUCUCUUUGGUGAGCAUGAAUGGGAUCUGAUCUUCCUGAAGCCAGCUGUAGUGCUGAAUCAUUAUAGUGUGGUAAAAUUACACUCACUAACAGACUAAAUAUUCCUCUCAUUAUGGAUCUCUCUUGGUAGAAUAUGACAUGUAUAGCUGCUGAAGUUUG
rnacentral:lncRNA from 1 species